GGGUUGUAAACCUCUUUUCACGGGGAAGAAUAAUGACGGUACCUGGGGAAUAAGCCCCGGCUAACUACGUGCCAGCAGCCGCGGUAAUACGUAGGGGGCGAGCGUUAUCCGGAUUCACUGGGCGUAAAGCGGGCGUAGGCGGCCUGUUAAGUCCGAUGUGAAAUCUCCCGGCUUAACUGGGAGGGUGCAUCGGAUACCGAUGGGCUGGAGUGCAGCAGAGGAAAGUGGAACUCCCGGUGUAGUGGUGAAAUGCGUAGAUAUCGGGAGGAACACUAGUGGCGAAGGCGGUCUCCUGGGAUGUAACUGACACUGAGGCCCGAAGGCGUGGGUAGCAAACAGGAUUAGAUACCCUGGUAGUCCACGCAGUAAACGAUGGGUACUAGGUAUGGGGAGUAUCGACCCUCUCUGUGCCGAAGC
rnacentral:rRNA from 1 species